CCUACGGGGGGCUGCAGUGGGGAAUAUUGGACAAUGGGGGGAACCCUGAUCCAGCCAUGCCGCGUGUGUGAAGAAGGCCCUCGGGUUGUAAAGCACUUUCAGUGAGGAAGAACGCCUGGUGGUUAAUACCCAUCAGGAAAGACAUCACUCACAGAAGAAGCACCGGCUAACUCCGUGCCAGCAGCCGCGGUAAUACGGAGGGUGCGAGCGUUAAUCGGAAUUACUGGGCGUAAAGCGCGCGUAGGUGGCUUGAUAAGCCGGUUGUGAAAGCCCCGGGCUCAACCUGGCAACGGCAUCCGGAACUGUCAAGCUAGAGUGCAGGAGAGGAAGGUAGAAUUCCCGGUGUAGCGGUGAAAUGCGUAGAGAUCGGGAGGAAUACCAGUGGCGAAGGCGGCCUUCUGGACUGACACUGACACUGAGGUGCGAAAGCGUGGGUAGCAAACAGGAUUAGAUACCCUAGUAGUC
rnacentral:rRNA from 1 species